rnacentral:rRNA from 1 species
UACGUAGGGCGCAAGCGUUAUCCGGAAUUAUUGGGCGUAAAGAGCUCGUAGGCGGUCUGUCGCGUCUGCUGUGAAAUCCCGGGGCUCAACCCCGGGCUUGCAGUGGAUACGGGCAGACUAGAGUUCGGUAGGGGAGACUGGAAUUCCUGGUGUAGCGGUGAAAUGCGCAGAUAUCAGGAGGAACACCGGUGGCGAAGGCGGCAUCCUGGACCGACAUUGACGCUGAGGCGCGAAAGCUAGGGGAGCAAACCGG